rnacentral:lncRNA from 1 species
UAUGAGGGUUGGUGUGAUAAUUCAUUCCCUGGCCCCGAGUGAGAUCUAGGUUUGUUGCAACUGCUGGGCAUAGGUUGAGGACAUAUUGCUGCAUGGGCGACCAUGCACACGACCUUAUGUUCAGCGACACUUUCCGAAUGUUUGGCGGAGUUUGAAGCGAGAUUUUUUCUUCUGCAUUUUCUAGGAACGUCAGAGUCAGACACUCCUCCGUCAGGAUGAUGGGAUCCAUCACAGGGCCUUGAGUGUUUGGAUUGCUUCCCUCCUGUUCCGGGACCUGUGGUGGAGGGGAAUUUUGAGUAGUUGAAUGGAAUGAUGGACUUGGUGUUUCCAUCACUGGUACUAUCUGUUCCAUGGAGAAUCGCUGCAGUUGAGCUUGUGUGACUGGUGUGUGCAGUGUUUGAAGUACUUGAUUUAGCGAUAAAUUCGCAAAGUUGCUUAGUUGGUAUGAUGGCGAGUUGGAGUUCUGGUAUUGCAUGUUGUUGGAGGGGUUCAUCAACAUGUUUCCCAAUGAUAGUAGGUCUUCUUGCUGGACAGUUUGGUUGUAGAGAAGCGUUUGGUAUGCUUGGAUCAUUUCUGGGGUGGUCAUUUGUAUUGGGAGAGUUUCUAGUGGCAUGUUUGGGUGGAAGUUCAUCAUGUUGUUGUUCCAGCUUGGGAUGGGCGACUGGAUUUGGAAAGGGUCUAGUGGUAGAGGGAGAGUUCCCUGGAUAGGGUUGAAGUUGAAGUGGUGGAAUUGGUUCUGGAAUGGAGUGACAGUGCUUGAGCCUAGAGUCAUUGGUGCUAGUUGGAACAUGCAUGGCGGAGGUGGAGGUUGCGUGAGUGUGCAUGGAGGUGCAGUUGUUUGGUUUGUUGAUAUUGAGGACUGAGUUGGACGUCUGUUUUGGUUCCUCAGACGUGGAGGAUGGCUGGUGGAGGAGUGUUUUGAGCGAGGCAUUUUUGGAGGUUGGUUGUGGUAUUGUUUUGGUGAAAACUGGAGAUGGUGAAGGAGCGUGAAGAGAUGAGGGUGGUUUUAUAGAUGGCUGAAGGGGCUGGUGCUUUAAAUGCUGAGAUUUGCGUUUAUGUUUGGGUAGUAGUUUACGUCAGAGUUCUGCAGAUUUUGUGGUAGGAAUGGCAUUGAAGGAAUGGGAGGUCACAGGUGUAGGGCUACUGUUAGAGGAAUAUAUGGGAUUUUGGGUAAGUAUUUCAGAAGAUUUGGCUGUUAAAGCACUUAUGAGUGCUUGUACUUUCCCUCUUUGGGGGAUGUCCUUUUCGUUCGUGUGGUUUGAUUUGGCAGGUAUACUUGAUGAAUGGUUGGUUUUACUUGAUGAAUGAAUUUUUCUUUUGUUUGUAUCGUUACUGGAGAUGUCGUUGGUUUGUAACGAUUUGGAAAUUAUCAGGUUGGCAUUGGUUGCUAGGGGUUUGGGGUUUUCCUGUUGUGAAUGGACGAGAGGUUUGGUUGAGGUGUAGUUGAUGUGGUGGAUUUAGUUAGGUUAUGGUUGAGGAGGGAUGAAGUAGUUGCAGUAGGGGUUUUAGGGUUAGUAAGGGUAGUACUUGUUGAUUUGGUAGAUAUUGUAUUUGUAGUUGGUAGGUGUAUUUGGUUUAGUUUUGCUGGGGAAGUAGAUUGUGGAUUUGCUAUUUCCGCGUUAGUCAACUGUGCAUGUAUAGUUUGAGGAGUGACAAUGGUAUUGUUAUUGUUUUGUAGUUGGGUUGUAAUUUGAUUAGUUUCGUUGGCUGUCGUGGGUGUAUUUGGGAGGGAUGUUUCUUGGUAGUUUUCUAGUUUGGAAAAAUUGUUAUGGGUUUUGGGUGGUAAAAUUGGGUUUUUUGUAGUAGUUGUUGAAAAUUGUUUUUUGCUAUUUUUGGGGAAGGUUACUGUUGUCCAUGGGCCUUCCGAUACCUCAAUGUGAUUUUCCUUGAAAUUUUUUUCUUUUCCAUUUUUUUUCUGAUCUUUUUCUUUUUUUUCAUUUUCUUUUUUUUCUUCUUUUUUUUCAUUUUUUGCAGUAGUCGAAGAAGUACCUUGUUCCAUGUUUGAUGAACUGUUGCAGUGGUACAGUGUGAGUCCUAGGCAUCCACAGCUUUGACAUAGAGGAGUUGAGCUCUCAUAGUGAAUUUUCUGUAGGUGCUUGCCAAUGAGUAUAUCCCUGGGCACUGGUUUUCCUAGCUGGACUAAUAUACAAAGUCUUGCAUAACGUCCUCUACUAGUGUUCCUUGUGCAGCUAUCUAUUUUUAGUAUUGAUCCAAUUUGACUUCCUAUUUUUCGGAGGAUUGUCAAGUCGUAGUAUUCUGUUGGCAAUUCUGGCAGUCGUAUCCAAAUAGUUGAAAAAGGCGUUUGAUCAUUAGUGGGAUUGAAUUUUGGCUCCCAUUUUCUAACGGAGAGAAAUUGUGAUCCUAUAAACCAAGGGCCUUGGUUUAAGAUUUUUGCAUAAUUUUCUGAGGUUGUAAAUUUGAAUAGAUAAUAGUCUUCACCAAGAUCUAUCAAGUUUAAAUCCUCAUUUAGGUUCCAAAGGGUUUUUAGUUUAUUUCUAAGUAGCAUGAAUCCUAACCGUUUUUCUAGCAGUUUUACUAUCUCUGUAUGUUGCCAUGGUUCGUAGAGUCUUGUUUUUUCUGAUGAGGAGAUUGGUAUGAAGAA